ensembl:lncRNA
CUAUUCUCUGCCUCUCUGCAACAGUCUUGUGCAUAUCUGACAUCUCUCCACCUCCCAUCAUUCCUGUGCCCUGUGCUGCUUUGGAGGAAUAAACCUACCAGGCUGAUAAGGUGCAGCAACUGACAGCAUCUAGGAAACAUCCCCAGAACACCACAAAAAAUCUGCACUCCUGAUUUUGAGAGAGGUUGUGAUGCAUGGCCCAAAGGAAGCAUCUCUGCACCCAAGGAACAAGCCACUGCAUUUGUUGACAGUUUACAUGGUACACAGGAGGGAACUCUGCCCUGGGCAGAUGAGGAUUGUCCAGACAGAUGACAGAAUCUGAGAAGUAGCAGGAGCUCUUUGGCAUCCUGCUGUGAUCUGUGGGGAGAAAGGUGCAGCUGUGAGAGUCCAGGCUAUGGCAGCCCUGCUAUUGGAACAUGAACUGCUGCCAGAUGAUCUCUUGUCUCUUUUAAGUAAAGGUGUUUCCAUGGCUAUGUGUGCAGUCACAGUACAUCCAUGAACCGCAGCCCUGUCAGCUCUGUGAGGCCACCACUACCUCUUUGUGCAGGUGCUACAUGGACCAGUGCUCCCUUGGGAUGUGACGGAGGGAUGAGCAGGUGGUGGCAGGGAGCCCAGAGCAAGACUGGGUGAUGGGCAGAGGAAAAGCAGCCAGAGUUCAAAUUAGCACUCAUACACAGAAGAGACCCACAGUGCUGGAGUUUGCUGUUCUCAGUGGGGUACCUGAGAUCGUGCCCAACAUACCCAAAGGCUGCAGGUCCAGCAGUAUGGCUCCGGCUCCUGCAUCAGCACCGCAGUCAAUGACAAGGGGAAGUUUUUACAGCCUGAGGUCAAUGAGAAGUGAUAAACAACAUGGGGAAUGACAAAAAUAAAUAACUAAUAAGGAUGGGGAAAUUAGAAGGGGAAAAAGAAAAAAAGAAAAAAGAGAGAAGAAAUCAAAGUAUGCUGAAAACUUACCCAAAUCAAAAUCCAGGCCUUGAUGAUGUUCUUGCAGGAGCCUGGGCAAAAUCUCCCUCUGACUUUGAUGGUGGAGGAUCAGUUCCUUAGGAAGGGAGGGAAAUUUGGACAUAACCACAAGAAAGAAUGUACUGCAAAGUGAAGGAAUUAGGUGAGCAGUGCCGUACAAAAAUAACGAUUCAGUGGCUGGUAGGCAAUAUUGUCAUCUCUGCACACAUCCAAGGACUUAAAUGACCCACUAGUCUGGCUGAGGAUCAGCUCCCUUAAUAAUAAGAAAGAGUAAUUUAAACUACGGCUUUUUUCAUUGUGUUUUACACAGGUUUGGGGAAUAUGUUAUCAAAGGCUCCAAUUCUGGCCAAAGUCCACAGGCAUCAUACCUGUGGUCAGGCCCCGGAUAGAAAGAUCAGAGCUGUCUUUGCUUAGCCCCACUCCCAAAAACAGAUCAAUCGGAGGUAACUCAAAAGGAAAUAUUCUACAGGGAACAGCUGAAGAUGCAUUUAGAGGAAAUAAUCCCCAUUCAGGAUGCCAUUAUUAAAGGAGAGAGAUAACUAUCAGAGCUGAGAUAUGUCAGGGCAACCUCAUUGACAUGGGACUGGAGAACUUCUACUGUAAAAGCAGAGAAACUAGGUCAGUGCUUUUUGAAGAGAGGAAAGCUCGGGUGGACAUCAUUAUUUUAUAUGUGAUUCUAAGGGGAGUAGCUGGGAGAGAUGUCAGAAAACUGGUGUCAAAUACAGGAACAAAUGGACAGGCUGUAGGGAAGGGAAAUGAACAGAAACUAAAGGAGGUUCAAACCCAGGAGAUAUAAACAUUUCUGUACACAUCAAGUAGUUAAUGCAAGGGCUGGGUUACGGAAAGGGCUGGUAAGAGCAACCAAUAGGGGUUUGGGAAAGGAAAUCUUUAUGGGGCACAGACAAAUCAGUCUCUUGCUCUUGGUCUGUCCUGAGGAUUGCCCAAGUUUCAAUCUCAAAAUUACUUUGAGUUUCACAUACAGUAAAUCUCUGUGCAAGCGCAAUAGAUUGAAGUGACAAUUCAGUUUAUCACUUGAAGAUAAAACUCAGAAGAACAUUUGCCUUAUAAUUCUAUUAAUAUAAAUGUAAUUACAAGGGC